AGUGCUGUGAGGGGCUAUGAGGGCUGUGAGGAGCUGUGAGGGGCCAUGACGCAGCAUGAGAAGCCAUGAGGGGCUGUGAGGAGCCAUGAGAGACUGUGAGGGGCUGUAAGGAGACGUGAGGAGCUAUGAGGAUCUGUGCAGGGCUAUGAGGUCUGUGAUGGGCCAUGAGUGCUGUGAGGGGCUAUGAGGGGCCGUGAGGGCUAUGAGGGGCUAUGAGGAGCUGUGAGGGUCCAUGAGGGCCAUGAGGAGCCAUGAGGGGCUGUGAGGGGCUGUGAGGAGCCAUCAGGAGCUGUGAGGAGCUGUGAGUGCUGUGAGGGGUUGUGAGGAGACAUGAGAGCUCUGAGGGCUGUGAUGGGUCAUGAGGGGCCAUGAGCUGUGAAGGGUUGUGAGGGGUCAUGAGGAGAUUUGAGGGGCCAUAAGGGGCUCUGAGGGGCCAUGAAGGGCUAUUAGGGACCUUGAGGGGGAAAAAGGUCCCUGAGAAGCUGUGGGAGGCCAGGCACUUCAUGGAACCACGGGUCAGUUAUUACACUGCAGAACCAAGGAGACUGCUGUUGAGCGUUAUGAAAGCUCAUGGAACCAAAAGUCCAUUGUGACAUUGAGGGACCUCAUGGGAUCAUGGAGAACAUUACAAUAGUUUGUGACCCUUUGGAACCAAGGGGCCAUGUGACAGUGCAGGGCUCCAUGGAACUAAGAACUCAUGUAACAGUGAGGAGCCCAAUGGAAUCAAGGCGCCAUUCCAUAUUUCAGGGCCUCAUGGAAGCAAGGUGCCCUUGUGACACUGCAGGACCUCAUAGAAUCCUGGAGACCAUUCUGACACUUUGAGGCCGUGUUGAAUCAAGGGGUUUGCAGGGCUUUGUGGAACCAAGGAGCUCUCUGUGACACUGCAGGGCCUCGUGGAAGCAAUGAGACCAUUCUGGCAUUCUAGGUCCCCAUGGCACCAAGGGGCCAUUGUGACACCAAUGGGUCCCCAAGGAAGCAAGGGGCCAGUGUGCCACAGCCAAGCCUUGUGGAACCAAGGGGCCAUUGUGAUCCUGGGGAGCCCAAUAGAACCAAGGGACCAUUGUGGCACUCUGCACAGUCCCAUGGAACCAAGGAAAACCAUUUUGACACUGCAAGGCCUCAUGGAAGCAAGGGGCCAUUGUGGCACUGCAGAGCCAAGGAGACCAUUGUGAUAUCACUGGGCCUCAUGGAAACAAAGAUCUCUUGUGAUACUAUGGGGACUUGUGGAACCAAAGGGCAAUUGUGAUGUUGCAGGGCCCCAAGGAUCCAAGAACAUGGAACAGUUAUUUUCCAUUACCUAUCAUCUAUGUUGGACAGUGACUUUCUACUUUACACCAAUCCUACGGUGCUACCAUCACCAAGAAGAUGGAGGCUAGGAAGAAGAAGGAAGAAGAACAGGAGAACGCCCAAAUCCCUCCAUCUUGUCCCCUGGACCCCCAUAGUAAAAUUCUUCCAAAUUCUA